rnacentral:rRNA from 1 species
AGAGGGGUGCAAGCGUUAAUCGGGAAUUACUGGGCGUAAAGGGCGCGUAGGUGGCUAUUUAAGUCGGAUGUGAAAAAGCUUGGGGGCUUAACCUGAGUCUGUCAUUCGAUACUGGAUAGCUAGAGUACAGUAGAGGGAAGUGGAAUUUCCGGUGUAGCGGUGAAAUGCGUAGAUAUCGGAAGGAACAUCAGUGGCGAAGGCGGCUUCCUGGACUGAUACUGACACUGAGGCGCGAAAGCGUGGUGAGCAAACAGGAUUAGAUACCCUGGUAGUCCACGCCGUAAACGAUGAGAACUAGCCGUAUGAAGGUUUAUCUUUGUGUGGCGAAGCUAACGCGAUAAGUUCUCCGCCUGGGGAGGUACGGCCGCAAAGGUUA